rnacentral:tRNA from 1 species
GGUGAGGUGGGUGAGUGGCUUAAACCAGCGGUUUGCUAAACCGCCGUAUAGUUGAAAAGCUAUACCGGGGGUUCGAAUCCCCCCCUCACCGCCA